rnacentral:rRNA from 1 species
AAUACAUAGCUUAAUGAGGGGAACUCAGGGAACUGAAACAUCUAAGUACCUGAAGGAAGAGAAAGAAAUUCGAUUCCGUAAGUAGCGGCGAGCGAACGCGGAUUAGCCCAAACCAAUAAAGUUUUCUUUAUUGGGGUUGCGGACAUAUCAUAACGAAGAGGUAUCGUAAUUGAAGAGGUUUGGAAAGACCCACCACAGAAGGUAAUAGUCCUGUAUGUUAAACGAGAAGACGUUAGAUAUGAUCCAGAGUACCACGGGACACGUGAAACCCUGUGGGAAGCAGGAGGGACCACCCUCCAAGGCUAAAUACUACCUAGUGACCGAUAGCGUAUAGUACCGUGAGGGAAAGGUGAAAAGAACCCCGGGAGGGGAGUGAAAGAGAACCUGAAACCCUGCACUUACAAGCUGUGGAAGCACAUUUCUUGUGGGACCGCGUACUUUUUGUAGAACGGGCCAACGAGUUACGUUAAGUAGCAAGGUUAAGCACUUAAGGUGCGGAGCCGUAGCGAAAGCGAGUUUUAACUGAGCGUUCAGUUACUUGACGUAGACCCGAAACCGGGCGACCUACCCAUGAGCAGGAUGAAGCGAAAGUAAAAUUUCGUGGAGGUCCGAACCCACGAGCG